AAGGUGCUUGCACCAGAUUGACUCAUUUGAAUCACUUAGUGGCGGACGGGUGAGUAACGCGUGGGAAACCUGCCCUAUACUGGGGGAUAGCAGUUGGAAACGACUGAUAAUACCGCAUAAGCGCACAGCUUCGCAUGAAGCAGUGUGAAAAACUCCGGUGGUAUAGGAUGGUCCCGCGUCUGAUUAGCUAGUUGGUGAGGUAACGGCCCACCAAGGCGACGAUCAGUAGCCGGCCUGAGAGGGUGUACGGCCACAUUGGGACUGAGACACGGCCCAAACUCCUACGGGAGGCAGCAGUGGGGAAUAUUGGACAAUGGGGGCAACCCUGAUCCAGCGACGCCGCGUGAGCGAAGAAGUAUCUCGGUAUGUAAAGCUCUAUCAGCAGGGAAGAUAAUGACGGUACCUGACUAAGAAGCACCGGCUAAAUACGUGCCAGCAGCCGCGGUAAUACGUAUGGUGCAAGCGUUAUCCGGAUUUACUGGGUGUAAAGGGUGCGUAGGUGGAAUGGUAAGUCAGAUGUGAAAACUAUGGGCUCAACCCAUAGACUGCAUUUGAAGCUGCCGAUCUAGAGUGCAGGAGAGGAAAGUGGAAUUCCUAGUGUAGCGGUGAAAUGCGUAGAUAUUAGGAGGAACACCAGUGGCGAAGGCGGCUUUCUGGACUGUUACUGAC
rnacentral:rRNA from 1 species